CCUACGGGUGGCAGCAGUGGGGAAUAUUGGACAAUGGGGGCAACCCUGAUCCAGCCAUGCCGCGUGUGUGAAGAAGGCCCUCGGGUUGUAAAGCACUUUCAGUGAGGAAGAACGCCUGGUGGUUAAUACCCAUCAGGAAAGACAUCACUCACAGAAGAAGCACCGGCUAACUCCGUGCCAGCAGCCGCGGUAAUACGGAGGGUGCGAGCGUUAAUCGGAAUUACUGGGCGUAAAGCGCGCGUAGGUGGCUUGAUAAGCCUGUUGUGAAAGCCCCGGGCUCAACCUGGGAACGGCAUCCGGAACUGUCAAGCUAGAGUGCAGGAGAGGAAGGUAGAAUUCCCGGUGUAGCGGUGAAAUGCGUAGAGAUCGGGAGGAAUACCAGUGGCGAAGGCGGCCUUCUGGACUGACACUGACACUGAGGUGCGAAAGCGUGGGUAGCAAACAGGAUUAGAUACCCGGGUAGUC
rnacentral:rRNA from 1 species